CUUACCAAUUCUAAAAAACUCCCACUGGUGUGGCUCUAUGGCCCCAUAACCCAAUUAUUUGGCGAUUUAUGAAAUCUCUGGCUGUCAAGUUUUACGAUACGACAUGAUAAACUAAAGCUUCAUGUCAGCCACCAUAGACCCUAGCUCCAGUCCCCCCUUCCCUCCCCACUUAUUUCCUACCUCUGUCCUCCUUUAUCCUUCUCC